GUGGGGCGCGGUGGCGCACGCCUGUCAUCCCAGCGGCUUGGGAGGCUGAGGCAGGAGGAUCGCAAGGUGGAGGCCAGCCUCAGAAACUCAGCGAGGCCCUGAGCAACUCAGCGAGACCCUGUCUCUA
rnacentral:sRNA from 1 species